rnacentral:snRNA from 1 species
UAGUUUUUUAACUCUUUUAGAAUUUGUCCAGCAUGUUUUUUUGGUGUUAAUAAAAACCCACACAC